rnacentral:rRNA from 1 species
UACGAAGGGGGCUAGCGUUGCUCGGAAUCACUGGGCGUAAAGGGUGCGUAGGCGGGUCUUUAAGUCAGGGGUGAAAUCCUGGAGCUCAACUCCAGAACUGCCUUUGAUACUGAAGUAGCUUGAGUUCCGGGAGAGGUGAGUGGAACUGCGAGUGUAGAGGUGAAAUUCGUAGAUAUUCGCAAGAACACCAGUGGCGAAGGCGGCUCACUGGCC